rnacentral:rRNA from 1 species
ACGGGUGAGUAACACGUGGAUAACCUACCUAUAAGACUGGGAUAACUUCGGGAAACCGGAGCUAAUACCGGAUAAUAUUUUGAACCGCAUGGUUCAAAAGUGAAAGACGGUCUUGCUGUCACUUAUAGAUGGAUCCGCGCUGCAUUAGCUAGUUGGUAAGGUAACGGCUUACCAAGGCAACGAUGCAUAGCCGACCUGAGAGGGUGAUCGGCCACACUGGAACUGAGACACGGUCCAGACUCCUACGGGAGGCAGCAGUAGGGAAUCUUCCGCAAUGGGCGAAAGCCUGACGGAGCAACGCCGCGUGAGUGAUGAAGGUCUUCGGAUCGUAAAACUCUGUUAUUAGGGAAGAACAUAUGUGUAAGUAACUGUGCACAUCUUGACGGUACCUAAUCAGAAAGCCACGGCUAACUACGUGCCAGCAGCCGCGGUAAUACGUAGGUGGCAAGCGUUAUCCGGAAUUAUUGGGCGUAAAGCGCGCGUAGGCGGUUUUUUAAGUCUGAUGUGAAAGCCCACGGCUCAACCGUGGAGGGUCAUUGGAAACUGGAAAACUUGAGUGCAGAAGAGGAAAGUGGAAUUC